rnacentral:lncRNA from 1 species
CCGGAAGCUGUGGCUGUUCCUUUGUUGGGUACAUAGGGGACAGAUGAGCUGGAAAGUGAGGAAAGACAUGUUACUGCUCCCUUGCUUCCAUGGCAACCGGAAUGUAACUGAAAUCCAUGUCUUAGCCAAACAUCGUCUACUCGUCAAAUAAUGAAGGAACAAAAGCCCAUAUACUUUUUGAAAUGCAGACAAGAAGCUCAAUCCUCAGAGACAGCCUCCAUGUCAAAGGUGUUGAACUGAAGUACCCAUUUCUGCUAGGCAUGGUGCCAACAUUUUCCAGACCAUUUAAGGCAUUGCUUAGGGAGUUGAUGUCACUUGAAGAACAAAAGAAUGUGAAUGUCCUCAAGAUGCAUACAGUCUACAGUCCCAAAACCCAGAGGCUGAGCAUGAAGGCUGUCAAGCUUCCUGAAGAGGCUACAGGUCAAACUCAUGGAACUGAAGCGGCUACUUUCAGAUGAAGGUAAAAGGCCAAGAGGUACACAUAGAACUUGCCUUGACAUCUCUGAGUCACUGGACAGAUGCCUGCAAUUGCCUGCCACUGGAUCUAUCGUCUCAUUAGACAAAUACCUCCACUUCUCUCUGUGCUCACUGCCACACAGCAGAAGACAUUUUGACUCCAGUACAGCUGUCAAUGAGAGUAUGUGGUAGAGUCUAUUGGUCAUUAUGGACAUUCAUGUUACAUGUUAAGUCAAAAAGGCAUGCUGUAACAUAUCUGAACUAUGAUCCU